UUUUGGAUGGGAGAGGUGCGGAUGCAGGAUGAGGAGGUCCUCAGUGGCUGGAGUACGGAAAGAGUUGACAGCGGAAGCUCUGGCUCGGAAAUCAUGCUUAACUCCCCACAGUAGAUGUGUGACCUUGUGCAGAUGGCUUCAAACUUUGCCUCAAGUCUCUUCAUGUGUGAAACAAGGCCACAAUCGCUCCUGGGAUUGCUCUAAAGAAAGCAACACAUUUAAGUGGAAGAAAGCAAGGAAUGAACCAGAACUGGCCAGUCUCAAAGGAGGGAGAGCAGGAGACGGCAUCUCUUCACUCGUGGAAGGGAUAAAGAGAGGGAGGCGGAGGGAAAAAGGGUUUCUCUGUGUAGCUCCGGCUGACGUGGAUCUUGCUCUGUAGUCCAGGCUGGCUUCAAACUCGGAAAUCUGACUGCCUUUUGCCUCUUGAGUGCUGGAAUUAAAGAUGUGUGCCACCACCACUCAGUCCCAAAUUUGGCUUUUUGAGGAAAGGUGGCAAACCCAAGACCACGAGGAGCUGGCAGAGCUACUGAAGGUGUUGUGUAUUGGGCAUAGCAAGCAUGGAAAUGCCUGAGUUUCUUCACCUCUCCAGAAAGACUUCAGGUCGCCUCCACCCAGGACUUCAGCAGACUACAUUCCGGAAGCAUUUGAAAAUGGAGCGCGUGCACGUGCGCACACAGACACAGACACAGACGUACACAUGCUCAGGUGAGUGCACAACCCUUCCCCCCCCUCCAACUCUCUCAUUCUUGUGAUCACAGAUCGCAUCUGCCUUCCUUCCUGGGACCCAAUGAGGAACUCUGAAAAUCUUAAAGAGGAAGAAGAGCACUAUGUCCAGCACCAUAUUCGGCUGUGGUCAUAAAAGAUGGUUACCAGGCUAUAGGUCUCAGGUUUAAAGUUCAGGUUUCUUGCCAGUGACCAAGUUUGCUAAACAUCGCCACCUGCUGUCUGUCUCACGUCGCAAAGCUUGCCACCCAAAAGAAGCCUCGGGUUCAGUUAGAGGCAGAGAAAAGGAAGGUGGGCCAAACCUGUGGGCCAUUGUAAACCUUUUCCACAAACCCCAUUGACUUCCCAUAGCUCUAUGUUUCUUCCCUGGGCGGGACUACAGUGUGCCCCCACCCCGAAGCAUAGCCUCGUCAGCUUAAUACUGAAUAAACAGCUCACAGACCGAAAUUCUGCCACUGACUCUGUAGUGACUGACCCUAAAAUAUCUGGGAGGGUUAUUGCCGAGAUCUCCCCACCCCCACACAUGGUCCUGCUUUCUCUUUACGACAUGCCUUCCAUAGCCUAGGUUGUGAAGCCUAUGCCUCCCGAGUUCUGAGUAGCUGGGGGAUCUUUUUGAUCCCUUGAACUUCUGUCUGCUGGGGUUAUAGGUUUGUAUCCCUAAAUUCGUGAUUGUUUGUUGUUUAUUUGCUUGUGUGCUCUGGUGCUAGGGAUGGAACCCAGGGCUUUGUGCCUGCUAGGUAGGCACUGUGCCAACUAUAUCCCAAUCCCAGACCCGGGAGCUUUUCUCAAAGUUAUGAUAAACUCUGGGCUGGCAAGGUAGUGCAGUGGGUAAGGUGCCUGCUGCCUAGCCAGAUGACCCAGAUUUGAUCUCCAAGCCCCAUAUAAUGGAAGGAGAGAACUGACUCUGGAAAGUUGUUCUCUGAUCUCCACACAUGCACUAUGGCAUGAAUGUACACACACACACACACACACACACACACACACACACACCAAAAAGGAAGGAAGGAAGAGAGAGAGAGAGUAUUUUUUUAGGACAGUGUGUCACUAUGUUGCCACAGCUGUGGUAAAACACAAGAUCAUGCAUGGGAGCCCAUGCAUUCCAAGUCCUCUGGAUUUGUGGGCUGUGGGAUCUUGAGGUCAGCCUGGACACACAGUGAAUUCCAGCACAGCCUAAGUUACGUAGUAGUACACCAUCUCAAAGCGGACUGUUUUGUGUUAAGUCUCAAACCCUGGGACAAAUGCCUGAGAUGCCUAUGUAACAUAUCAAAGUGGACCUGGCUCUUAGGUUCUCCCAGAUUGCCUCAGUCCCUGCCUGUUACAGGGUAUGGCCUGCCUUCUACCCUGAGAAUCCCAGGAAGUGUGUUGUCUUUCCCCUAGAGGCUCUUCCAUAUAUAAUCCAGCCCUUUUGGUUACCUGAUACCUCUUCUUACCUUUUGCCCUCAUGGCUAUUGCAUCUGGUUCUCCCUCUACUCUCCCUGCCCCUUCCCCCUCUUUCACUUGGCUCAGGGGCAUGUCCACUCUGGACAUCUCCCAAUGUCCCUGCCUCUGGCUAUGCUCUCCCUUUUAUCUACAAUAAGUGAUCUCCUUCACCAUACCUAGGAGCAGUCAUGUUCUUUCCUAUCUUUUUAUUUGUCCAUUCAUCUUGGUGAAACACACAUAAAACUGCAUAGCCAAUUUUCAGAGCACUUUUUGCCAUAGUCCUAGCAGGAUUUCAGGGCCGCCUCUGCACUGUCAGUUACCCCUGCCAGGUCUAAGGAAGCUGCCAGUACUUCCCUAAUGAGGAUUUACUGAAACUGUGAAGCUUCUGCAAGCUCAGGACGUCCUGCUUUGAAGUUUCUCCACUGUCCAAGGGCUGUGCUUAAGCCAUGGUUGGUUGGUUGCUGUGUUCUCACCUUCCUACAGGCAGUGUUUAUAUCUCUGCAUUGGUGCCUUCUGCUCAGGUGAAGGCAGAGGGGAGUAGAGGCUUGUUUCCCUGUAGCUGUGACUCUGGGGUGAUGGCUUGGGAAGGUAAUGAAGAUGGGAUCUGUUCUACCAGGGUCUCUCAGCUACUGAGGAAAUACCAGAAGGGGGUCUAAGAGCUCCUGACAUUGCAUAUACGUUUUAUGUGCAUGUGAGAAUGUGUUUUUCUAAGGACAAAAGCUGGAGUCAUCAGAGAGGAAAUAGCCUCAGUUGAGAAAAUGUCUCCAUGAGAGCAAGCUGUAAGUUAUACGCUCUAUUAGUGAGCAAUGGGGGAGAGCCCAGUCCAUGGGGGAGGUGCCAUCCCUGGGCUGGUGGUCCUGGAUUCUAUAAGAAAGAAGGCUGAGCAAGCCACAGGGAACAAGCCAGUAAGCAGCACCUCUUCAUACCCUCUGCAUGAGCUCCUGACUCCAGGUUCCUGCCCUGCUUGAGUUCCUGUCCUGGCUUUCUUCAAUGAUGAGCAAUCCUGUGGAAGUGAAAGGUGAAUAAACACUUUCCUCUCCAAUUCGCUUUUUGGUCAUGGUGUUUUGUCUCAGCAAU